UUCUUCUCGUAUCGAGCUCUAAUGUUUUGCGAAAACAGUCAUAUAGAUGGAUACUUCAGCCGGCGUGUUUUUCACUUUUUUGCCUGUUGCAAUGCGGCAACUUAAGUCUCUGAUAGUAUCCUAUAGUCCAGUUAAAGGGGAGCGCAGACACACAUAAUAAAGCCAGGCUUGGCUGGAAAUGUAGCCGUGUCCCAGCAGGAGGAUGUGAGAGUAGGGUCCCGGCGGGGGAGCGCUCUGAUCCCGCAGGGAGCUAUGCACAGCCUGGGUUGAACAGACAGAGAGAGCCAACAGCACCAAACCAUGGUCAGCCAUGGAAACUACAGCUCAACUUGGAGCACGGAUCGGGGCCAAAACAUGGAGCAUCAAAGAACUCUGCACAGCGCAUGAAAAAUACGGACCGGAUUCGUUUUUAGUCCUUUCCAUCUUAAAUCGGUGUCUGGGCCCUCACUCUGGUAAGCGUAACCCUCGGACAGGACCUAUUAGAGGGCCAUAUGUUUUCAACACCAACGGAACUCACAAUGUCAGGAGGUAUGUGUUGGGGCAAACUGCUGAACCCUAACAGUUCAGACUAGGACUACAAUUCGUGUGUUUGUCCCCUACAGAAAAGGGACAUGUUGCCAAUUUGAGCCAGAAAAAUAUUUAAAAUCACAUGGUGCUUUGUUAUUUUCUCUCCUGCACAGUGUGCUCUUUGACCGAGCUAGAGCUGCCCGAACGUUGUCAUGGAUAACUUGGUGGGCUCCCUCCCUGUCUUGACCUGCGGGGUGUCCUGCAGAUUGAGCCUCGCCCCCCCGUCGUGAGACGGAGCGGCCUUUAAAAUUGACCCCCGUUGAGGUGGGGGCCCCUCUUGUCUCGUCUGAACUCCCCCUGAAAUGAGCGCGCGCCUGGAGACCGCUUUUUAAAGCGCUUGUGGCGUCCCAGAGAGAGGCCGCUGGCACACAGGGGUA
rnacentral:lncRNA from 1 species